UCUGUAAAAUCAGGCUUGACCUCGUGU
rnacentral:piRNA from 1 species